rnacentral:rRNA from 1 species
GGCGGUUUGUCGCGUCUGCUGUGAAAGCCCGGGGCUUACCCCGGGUGUGCAGUGGGUACGGGCAGACUAGAGUGCAGUAGGGGAGACUGGAAUUCCUGGUGUAGCGGCUGGAAUGCGCAGAUAUCAGGAGGAACACCGAUGGCGAAGGCAGGUCUCUGGGCUGUUACUGACGCUGAGGAGCGAAAGCAUGGGGAGCGAACAGGAUUAGAUACCCUGGUAGUCCAUGCCGUAAACGUUGGGCACUAGGUGUGGGGGACAUUCCACGUUUUCCGCGCCGUAGCUAACGCAUUAAGUGCCCCGCCUGGGGAGUACGGCCGCAAGGCUAAAACUCAAAGGAAUUGACGGGGGCCCGCACAAGCGGCGGAGCAUGCGGAUUAAUUCGAUGCAACGCGAAGAACCUUACCAAGGCUUGACAUAUACCGGAUCGUUCCAGAGAUGGUUCUUCCCCUUUGGGGUCGGUAUACAGGUGGUGCAUGGUUGUCGUCAGCUCGUGUCGUGAGAUGUUGGGUUAAGUCCCGCAACGAGCGCAACCCUCGUUCCAUGUUGCCAGCACGUGAUGGUGGGGACUCAUGGGAGACUGCCGGGGUCAACUCGGAGGAAGGUGAGGAUGACGUCAAAUCAUCAUGCCCCUUAUGUCUUGGGCUUCACGCAUGCUACAAUGGCCGGUACAAAGGGUUGCGAUACUGUGAGGUGGAGCUAAUCCCAAAAAGCCGGUCUCAGUUCGGAUUGAGGUCUGCAACUCGACCUCAUGAAGUCGGAGUCGCUAG